UGGAUCUGUAAUGUCAUAUGGCAACAUCUUUUAAAAAUAUUUUGAGGGAAGCCUUUUGUAGUUAAAAAGUAGAUAAUGCUCUAGACACUUUGAGGCUGUAGAGUUUUUCCCAAUGCAUUAAGCAAACAAGCUCCCACACCCGAAAGGACAAUAAGCAAAAUGAAUUUGCAACGGUUCUGCUACUAUUCCAGAUAAAAAGACUCCA
rnacentral:lncRNA from 1 species